CACUACAGACUGUGUUAAAAUGGACGCCAUUGUCACUGAAUGCGGACUGCCUAAGGAUGGAUCGAACAAUAUUGGAGGUGCAUUUCGCAGCUUACCGAGGGACUCUCAAUUACUUUCAUGGCAGGGCAUGACCUCCCCCCAGUGAAUGUCGACUUGUUCUUUUCUGCAAGGAAGACUUUGGAAUGGACAUUUUCCCUACAAAUGCCACAUUCCCAAUCCCUAAUCAAUAGCAUUCUGGGUGAAUCUAAAGGCUACAUGGAUCGGCAGUUUAGUCGCGGUAUCUUCAGCAACAACAAGCUCUUCCUGGUAUAGAUGAACGAGUAGAACAACCUGUACAUGCAGCCUGGGAGCAACCUCACCACAG